rnacentral:rRNA from 1 species
CAAUAGCGUAUAUUAAAGUUGUUGCGGUUAAAAAGCUCGUAGUUGGAGUUCUGCCAGGUGCCGCCUGUCCGCCCCAGUGGUGAGUACGUGGCGCGCAUUUGGCCCUUUCAAGGGGAGCGUAUCUGCACUUUAUUGUGUGGUGCGGGAUCCUUGACUUUUACUUUGAGGAAAUAGGAGUGUUCCAAGCAGGCUCUCGUCGUGCACAGCUCAGCAUGGAAUAAUAGCAUUGGACCUCGAUUCUAAGCUGUUGGUUGCCAGAAGCGAGGUAAUGAUGAAGAGGGAUAGUUGGGGGCAUUCGUAUUUAACUGUCAGAGGUGAAAUUCUUGGAUUUACGGAAGACGAACUACUGCGAAAGCAUUUACCAAGGAUGUUUUCAUUAA